AAUAGAAUCUAUUUCUACUCUGAACGUGCCUGAUUCCGUCUGAUCUCUCAAGCUGAGCAGGGUUGGGCCUGGUUAGUAUUUGGAUGGGAGAAAUCUAUUUCUGGAGGCCGGAAAGUGCAAGAUCGAGGCGCUAGUA
rnacentral:rRNA from 1 species